AUUGUUCCCUAAUACAUGACAUUCCUUCACCACUGUAAACAAACACUGCCAAACUCAAAGGAUCGGCGGUGUGAUAUUUCUCUUUUACGUCUCUUUUGGGGCAGUUUAGCGAUUUCAUACAUUAAGAAAUUGGAAAUAUACUGGCAGAAAACGUUUAGCUCUCUUGGGAGAUAACUUUCCCUUCAUUAAUUCAGGCUGUAAUAUUGUAAUCUCAUGGCUCCUACAAUUACUGGCAUAGAGGUGAAGGAGCGGAACAAUGCCAUUCUUUUUGACGAGUCUAAAGGAGAGCUCUUCAGACUCAGUGAUGGUUACAAGACUCUUCAUCGCAAACUCAAGACACAGUGGAAAGUUAUCAGCAACCGUGAUGAACUGAACAAAGAAAGCAUCGGGCAGGCAGGUGUGAUCGUGCUGGCAUGUCCCCGACAAAGGUUCACAGAGGGACAGUUUGCUAUAUUACGUCGGCAUGUAGAUGAAGGAGGCAGCCUCUUCGUAUUGGCAGAGGAGGGUGGAGAGAAAAAAGCUCAUUCUAACAUCAACUUUUUAUUGGAAGAGUAUGGAAUAGCUGUAAAUAAUGACUCAGUAGUGCGUACAUGUUACUACAAAUACUUCCAUCCAAAAGAGUGCCUUAUUACAAAUGGCAUACUAAACCGGGCCAUCCUAGAAGCCUCUGGAAGGAACCUACCUGGCUUGUUGAUGGAUGAUGCACUCUCAAAUAGGUCAAUGUCAUUUGUAUAUCCAUUUGGAUGUACUCUGAAUGUUGCUCGACCAGCUGUUGCUGUGCUCUCCACUGGGAGCAUCUCAUUUCCUCUUAACAGACCUGUGUGUGCCUUCUAUGAGCAACCCUCCAGCCAUGGACGUGUAGCAGUGCUAGGCUCUGCCCACAUGUUCAAUGAUCAGUACAUAGAUCGUGAGGAGAACAGCAAGAUCAAGGAUGUCAUUUUCCAGUUUCUCACAGCCACAGAUUUCAAGCUUAAUCAGAUUGAUGCUGAUGACCCAGAGAUAUCUGAUUACAACAUGACACCAGACACAGCUUCCUUGGCUGAUGGUUUAAGAACAUGUCUUCAAGAAUCUGAGGAAGUACCGACAGAUUACACACAACUCUUUCAUACAAAGUUGACAUCAAUAGAUAUGCAACUUGUGCCCUCUGCAAUAGAAGCCUACAGCAAGCUAAAUGUGAAACAUGAACCCCUUCGCCUCAUAACUCCACAGUUUGAGACACCUUUGCCACCACUACAACCGGCGGUGUUUCCUCCUUCAUUUCGAGAAUUGCCACACCCGUCUCUUGAGUUGUAUGACUUAGAUGAAGCAUUCAGCUCCGAGAAGUCCAGACUGGCACAGGUUACUAACAAAUGCAAGGAUGAGGAUUUGGAGUAUUAUGUGAGGGAGUGUGGAGAUAUCCUUGGUGUUACCUCGAAGCUGCCACCUACAUCAAGGGAGGCUAAAUACAUUCUUGAAUACAUCUUUAUUCAGAUUGUGGAGUUCAAGAAGCUGAAUCAGGAUCCUGAAGCAUUCAUGAACAUGGAUUAAGGAACUACGACGAGCCAUUGUACCUUAGCCAUAAUUGCCAUAGUAACAUGUGAUAUAUAUGUAGUCAUAGCAUAUCUAGUGAAGUGAAUCUCUACUUGAUUCCAUUAACUUUCUCAGUUUUUUGUCAACUGAAUAUUUCUCUUACUGUGUGUACACAUUGUAUUGACAAAAUUAUAGUGAGUUUGUCACAUGACAUUUGGUAAAUGCACAAAAAGUGGCUGUAUAAUACUACCACAAGUCUUGCUUAAUAUUUGUUCAUACUUGUGAUUAUCAUUAACAAGAAGCAAAACAAAGUUAUUAUUUUUCCUAAAGUACAUAGAUCAGCUCAUGCAGAUGAAAGAAAUUAAUUUUCUGAAAUAUUCAAACCAGCACUCUAAAGGAACAAGAAAUGUGGUGAGAAAUAAAUUAACUGUAUGAAUCAGGCAUCAUAUCUCAUGUUAUUUUCCAGUCAGCCUCAGGAUUUUUUCUGGAAACAACUACUUGUAAUGAGAGAAUUUUUAUAAGUGCACCAUAGAGGGUUUUCACGACAACCCAGGGGCAGCAUUACAGGUGCCUUCACAGAAGCACAACCCUUGUGGGACACUUAGGAUAUUUAUCUAUCUUAACCCUCUCUGGAUGGGUGGUACACUACGGUACCGCGCAUUCAAGGCCCGUUUGCUGGGUGACGCCUAAUGGCGUCGUUUAUUUAACUGAUUUAGGCCUAUGCGUUCGAGAGCCCCGGCAUUGUAACAUGCAAGGCUGGAAUGCCCCCGUCAAUUUAGGUUAAUUUAGUGGUAAAUGUAGAAAUUAAAUCAGUAUUGAGUUUUAAAAUAUAUAUUGUUAAUAUUUUAAUCAACAAGGCCCACUAUUCAACUUGUAUUCAAAUAAAUGAUAAACAAAUAAAAGGGAUAAGGAUUUAAUAAAUCACUUAACAAUAUCAUAUGCAAAAGUUAUAAGGGCAUUUGAUAAGAUCAUCAAGAAAUUUUGCAUUAGUAUGUCAUAACUUUCACUUGACAGUUAUUGUCAGAACACAUUUUUCAUUAUGGAAAGCAUAAGUUUUGUUAUUCUACAAAAUGGAUUUUAGAGGAAAUAUUUUUGUUGGUGUUAGUAAAAGAUUAUGAUUAGACCUUUUUUUUUUUACUUAAAGAAACCACUUGUAAGAGCAAAAAAACACUCAAUCUUUCAGUCUGGAUAAAAAUGCACAAAUCACUAUAUAUUUUAAGACAUUCAUACAUUUAUCUAUCCGUCUUUCUAAGGAAGAGAGAGAGUAAGAGACACAGAGGAGAAUAUAUGGAGAAGGAAAGAGAGGAGACAAAAGAGGAGAGAUAAAAUAAAAUAUCCAAUUUAAUUCCAGAGAAAAUAAUAUAAUAUUUCAGCUUGGCACAAAACUAUUUAUUUGUUAAUGAAAGAAGUGCAAAAUACUCUGUUUUUAGGUGAAAUUAAUAACAGGUAUCAUGUAUUUGUUUAUGCAUAUGUAAAAUAGAUAUAUAUUAAUUUGGAAAUACUGCAGAUGCAUUUGUACCAUCAGUAUGUUUUUGUGCUUGUAAACAUAUGUGUACUUUGAUUUUCAUAAGAGCAUAAUUUAAAUAAAAAUGAACUUUAGUAUAUUGAUUAAAAUCAAAUGUAAUCAAGGUGCAAAAUCAGUAAAUGUCUCACAUCUAAAAGGAGGGAGACAGCUGAUGAAACCUAUCCAAUUCCAUCCAUUCACUGUCCUGAUAGUAUUAGACUAUAUUAUAUCCAUUAGUAAAGAAACAUUAUUUUUGAUCAUGUAAUAUAUAAUAAUUAAUUUCUUGCAAAAAUCAAGUAUAAACUAACUGGAAUAUAAUUCAAGUAAAGAAAAAAAAAAGUGUAGACUGAAGGUGUAACCAGUAAUUUUUAGAUCAUGCCAACCCUAAGAUAUAAUCAUGCAUGCAUGCAUACAUACACAUAUAUAUUUACAUCCAUGGGGAUGGAUUACAGGACUAUGUGUUUAUCAUAUCCUUUCAUAAUAUAAGUAUUAAUAUUCCCUACCAGUUAUUUUAUCAAUAAAUGUAGUAGGUAAUAUAUGUAAAGCACAGGGGCAUUAAUUUAAGUUCUUAUGUAUUCAGUCUUCUAUCAAGUAUUUUGUAUUUUGUUCUUAGAAGUCUCCAUAUUUUUAAAAAUUUUCUUUAACCCUUUUCUCAUUCGCUUUAAUCAUAGAAGGGAUUUUUUAAAGAGUAAUAUUUGUUUGGUUGUAUUUAUAUAAUUUUCCUUUUAUGUGACAUUUAAAUUAUGUAAAAGAAAGAAAUACUAAAGUGGAUUUAUGAGUGUGUGUGUGAAGUACACACUUCAAUUUUAAAUGUACAAUAUAUUGAAAUAAAUAUACAUAUAUAUAUGUGAAACUAUGUAAAAUAAUAAAACUCAUUCACAUCA
rnacentral:misc_RNA from 1 species